UCUAGUAAGGAUAAGGAUGCAUAC
rnacentral:piRNA from 1 species